rnacentral:rRNA from 1 species
AUUGAACGCUGGCGGCAUGCCUAACACAUGCAAGUCGAGCGGAUGAAGGCAGCUUGCUCCUGGCUUCUGCGGCGGACGGGUGUGUUAUUCCUACGAAUCUCCCUUGUUGUGGGGUAUAACGUCCGUAAACGGGCUCUUAUCCCGCAUACGCUCUGAUUGAGAACGGGGGGGUUCUUCGGACCUUUUGCUUUCUGAUGUUUCUAGUUGCGAUUUGCUAGUUGGUUGGGUAAAGGCCUAACAAGGCGACGAUCCGUAGCUGGUCUGAGAGGCUGAUCAGUCAAACUGGAACUGAGACAAGGUCCAGAGUACUACGGGAGGCAGCAGUGGGGAAUAUUGGACAAUGGGCGAAAGCCUGAUCCAGGAAUGCCGCGUGUGGGAAGAAGGUCUUCGGAUUGUAAAGCACUUUUAGUUGGGAGGAAAGGGAGUAAGAUAAUACCGUGCUGUAAUGACGGUACCAACAGAAUAAGCACCGGCUAACUACGUG